AUACGUAGGGUGCAAGCGUUAUCCGGAAUUAUUGGGCGUAAAGGGCUCGUAGGCGGUUCGUCGCGUCCGGUGUGAAAGUCCAUCGCUUAACGGUGGAUCCGCGCCGGGUACGGGCGGGCUUGAGUGCGGUAGGGGAGACUGGAAUUCCCGGUGUAACGGUGGAAUGUGUAGAUAUCGGGAAGAACACCAAUGGCGAAGGCAGGUCUCUGGGCCGUUACUGACGCUGAGGAGCGAAAGCGUGGGGAGCGAACAGGAUUAGAUACCCUGGUAGUCCACGCCGUAAACGGUGGAUGCUGGAUGUGGGGCCCGUUCCACGGGUUCCGUGUCGGAGCUAACGCGUUAAGCAUCCCGCCUGGGGAGUACGGCCGCAAGGCUARAACUCAAAGAAAUUGACGGGGGCCCGCACAAGCGGCGGAGCAUGCGGAUUAAUUCGAUGCAACGCGAAGAACCUUACCUGGGCUUGACAUGUUCCCGACGGUCGUAGAGAUACGGCUUCCCUUCGGGGCGGGUUCACAGGUGGUGCAUGGUCGUCGUCAGCUCGUGUCGUGAGAUGUUGGGUUAAGUCCCGCAACGAGCGCAACCCUCGCCCCGUGUUGCCAGCGGAUUAUGCCGGGAACUCACGGGGGACCGCCGGGGUUAACUCGGAGGAAGGUGGGGAUGACGUCAGAUCAUCAUGCCCCUUACGUCCAGGGCUUCACGCAUGCUACAAUGGCCGGUACAACGGGAUGCGACGCGGCGACGCGGAGCGGAUCCCUGAAAACCGGUCUCAGUUCGGAUCGCAGUCUGCAACUCGACUGCGUGAAGGCGGAGUCGCUAGUAAUCGCGAAUCAGCAACGUCGCGGUGAAUGCGUUCCCGGGCCUUGUACACACCGCCCGUCAAGUCAUGAAAGUGGGCAGCACCCGAAGCCGGUGGCCUAACCCCUYGUGGGAUGGAGCCGUCUAAGGUGAGGCUCGUGAUUGGGACY
rnacentral:rRNA from 1 species